rnacentral:lncRNA from 1 species
ACGUAUAUGGCACUAUUCGCGUAUACGACACUAUUCACGAAUACGACAUUAUUCACAGAAAAAUUAAAUUUUCUUUUCUUUGUCCAAGUUGUCUAUUAUGGUUACUAUCUUUGAUUGUAUCCAUGUUUUGUUCUUCAUUCUUGAAUUUUGCUCCACAAUUGAUUAUUAUGGAGUAUUUUUGAACUUGGAUAAACUAAAGUACGAAUCCCAAAUCUUUGUUCUUUUAUCUCACUGGAUUCAUUUUCUUUAAAUAUUUUUUUAUCAUCCUCAGUCCUAAAUGGUGAUAUAACUGAAUAUCUUUGGCCUGUAGUGCAAAGAUGAAUGAUUACUUAAUGAAUAUCUUUGGUCUGUAGUGCAAAGAUGAAUGAUUACCUGAUGAAUAUCUUUGGCCCGUAGUGCAAAGAUGGACAGAUGUUGAGAUGAACAUGACCAACUGGUGAUACAAAUAAAUAUCUUUGGCCCGUAGUGCAAAGAUGAAUAUUUGAUUUGAGAUAGUUAUUAAUUGAUGUCACAGGGAUAAAAUAUUGACCAUGGACUUUUAAAUCAUAGAAGAUAGUAGACUUCAUUCUCUACUUAACUCUUCUAAUGAAUUGUUAUUUCCGCUGCGAAUAUUGAUCUAAAACUUGUUGUCCAUUAUAUUUUAUCUUAUUUAUUGAAGGCUAACGAUAAUUUGCUUUUAAUUAUCUUGGUCAUAAUAUUCUUUACUAGGCUAGUUGAGCUCAUCCUUUUCCUUUUUGUUCCAUUUUUCUUCUUAGGAGGCGAGAAUAUAACUGGUACUAGUCGGAGUGUGGAGUGAUGGUUCAAGACAGUUAUUACAGCAGUCCUCACUACUUUAUAAAAUAGUGUAUCAAUAAUUAUAAUGAGGACUUUAUUUGAGUUUGGAUAUUAUCUAUAAGACAAUAUUUGUACUAAAACUCACAGCAUAUGUGUUAUUGUAUUUUGCACGAUAAUUAUAUUAAUGAAGUUUGUAUUUAGUUUCUGUACCAUGUAUUUGGCGACUCAGAAUGGGUUGUGUGGACCUAUUUGGGGGCGUCACAGCUGUCCCAGAUAAGUCAAAGCCGGUAGUUCAAGGGGGAGCAUUUGUUGCGACCUUCCAAAAAGUGAGGAACCCGAACGAAGUUAUUACGGGUAAGCUAAUCAUAAACUCUUGUGAAGUCUAUACCUUAUUAGAUACCAGUUCUACCCAUUCUUUUAUUUCACUUGCUUGUGCUCAAUGUUUAAAUUUGACUUUAGAGAAAUUAGAGUUUGACUUAUCUACUGAGACUUCGUUAGGAGAAACCUUCAUUACAUCUGUAGACACUCAAAAUUUCAUUUUCUCUAUUACUAACUAUGGAGGAGG